AUUGAACGCUGGCGGCAGGCCUAACACAUGCAGUCGAACGAGUGGCGGACGGGUGAGUAAUGUCUGGGAAACUGCCCGAUGGAGGGGGAUAACUACUGGAAACGGUAGCUAAUACCGCAUACCAUCGGAUGUGCCCAGAUGGGAAUAGCUAGUAGGGGGGGUAACGGCUCACCUAGGCGACGAUCCCUAUCUGGUGUGAGAGGAUGACCGGCCACACUGGAACUUAGCCACGGUCCCGACUCCUACGGUAGGCAGCAGUGGGGAAUUGUGCACAUUGGGCGCAAGCCUUGUGCGGCCAUGCCGCAUGUAUGAAGUAGGCCUUCGGGUUUUAAAGUCCUUUCAGCGAGGAGGCGGUACUCGCAGAAGAAGCACCGGCUAACUCCGUGCCAGCAGCCGCGGUAAUAC
rnacentral:rRNA from 1 species